CGACAAUAAAAAUUUUCAGAUCUAAAAUUUUUCUUUACAGAUUUCAGAUCUAAAUCUUAAUCUUAUGCAUAUGAUGUGGCUCUGAUAUUAAUGUUGGGAUUUCAUGAUUUCAUGCAUGCAAAAAAUUUUAAAACAUAUAUGCAGCGGAAACUAAAAAAAUUUGGAUUAAAUUAUUUUAAUCUAAGCAUGCAUAAGAUCACAUCUUAAAAUCAUAUAACAUGAUCUAUAUAUGUGAGAUAGGAUUCAGAUACAGAAAUCAAAUAGAGAAGAAUAAAUAGAGAAGAUCUAAUCUUCAUACCUUGGCACGGGUCGAUCUACAUCAUGAACCGAUGAUCGUGGAUGUCUUUCAAAGGUCCUUUGAAGCCACACAAGCAUCCGAUCUCUAUGAGUAUCCAUACGAGGUCUCGAUCUGAUCAGAAGCUUUUUGAUCUUAUCGAGAUGCAAGCUCUCUUGCAGAGAUCGCAUCUUGAUAGUUGAAACUCUUCUUUUCUUUCAAGAUCCUUUUAGAGAAGAAAAAAAUAGAAGGAUGAAGAUCUCUACGCUAGAGAUCAC
rnacentral:lncRNA from 1 species